rnacentral:lncRNA from 1 species
UGGGGAAGCAAACCAAUAUCUUAAGGGAGUGCUAGCUUGUGCUUGCUACCCUCCAGUGUGAUCAGUGACUGCAACAGCUGCAGCAGAGCUGGUAUAAUUAACAUACUUUCCCUCUGAGGUGUGAUGCUGAAACAGGAACAAUGAAGCAAGAAGUAUGAUAUUUCAAACGGAACACUGCCCCAGCUUGAAUGCACUGGAGGAGAAAGUGGUUUCCUGAGCUGAGACAGGGACAAGAUGAGAUUCCUUCUGUCAUACAACCACCACCUGAAAAAAGAUAAGUUGAAGGAUUAGUAAAACAAGUAUGUUUGCUGAGCUUCUUUGGCAGGUGCUGUUGAUCAGCAUUAACUUAAUCAUGCCUGUUUCUUGAGGGCUGCUGAAGUUGUUCUGCUCCUUCCUGAGCCUGAAACUUGCAAAGAUUGACUCAUCUGCUGUGGGGGGCUUGCUGUACUCUUGCCUUCUGCUCUGGGCAAUGCAGUCUGCAGCACUGCCCCUGCUAAUCUAGUGAAAUAUUUUGUCACUUUGGCUUCUCAGUAAUCAAGAAAAAAAAUGUGCAUGAAUUUUCUGCCGUAGGUGAGCAGAAUGGGCUCCUUGACACAAAGCAAAAUUACCUGUAGUGCAGAGGCAAUCAGCUUUAGGCAUGAAUACUUCUCAAAGAAUAUGUUGGGGUUUCAUGCGUAUGUUAUUUGAAGAUGUUCAAGUUUAUGCAAAGCAAGAUGAGAUCUACCCUGGGAAAGCUCCUGAGCUGUGUUCCUGUAUGCUGAAAGACAUUUUAAUAAUUCCUCGUUCUCUGUUGUUGCUUCUGGAAUAGAAGCUUCUCUGACAACGUGUGUGCG